rnacentral:rRNA from 1 species
CAGAGGUCUCGAGCGUUAGUCGGAAUCAUUGGGCUUAAAGCGUACGUAGGCGGAUAUGCAGGCGUCGUGUGAAAGCCCUCGGCUCAACCGAGGAAUUGCACGGCGAACCGCAUGUCUUGAGACAAGUAGGGGCUGUCGGAACGAUAGGUGGAGUGGUGAAAUGCGGUUGAUAUCUAUCGGAACGCCGAAGGUGAAAACAGACAGCUGGGCUUGUUCUGACGCUGAGGUACGAAAGCGUGGGAGCGAACGGGAUUAGAUACCCCGGUAGUCCACGCCGUAAACGAUGUGCACUAGAUCGAGGAGGAUCUGACUCCAUUCUCGGUCGAAGUAAAAACGUUGAGUGCACCGCCGUGGGGAGUACGGUCGCAAGGACU